GCGGUCGUGGCGGAACUGGCAGACGCGCACGCUUGAGGGGCGUGUGGUAUUACCGUGUGGGUUCGAUUCCCACCGACCGCACCA
rnacentral:tRNA from 1 species